UACGUAGGGGGCAAGCGUUGUCCGGAAUCAUUGGGCGUAAAGCGCGUGUAGGCGGUUCGGUAAGUCUGCUGUGAAAGUCCAGGGCUCAACCCUGGGAUGCCGGUGGAUACUGUCGGACUAGAGUACGGAAGAGGCGAGUGGAAUUCCCGGUGUAGCGGUGGAAUGCGCAGAUAUCAGGAGGAACACCAAUAGCGAAGGCAGCUCGCUGGGACGUUACUGACACUAAGGCGCGAAAGCGUGGGGAGCGAACAGG
rnacentral:rRNA from 1 species